UACGCAUAGGAAACAUACAGCUGUUUCGUAAUACUUGUCAGUCGAAGGGCGGUAUUUCCAGAGAAGGAAAACAACUACUGUUGAGGAGCUUGAAAGAGAGAGGUGUUCCGUACCAAGAUGUCGGAUGGUACCAGGCACGAAGAAUAAAGUAUCCCUUAAGGCCAAAAUUUAAUAGUUCUGCGAAUGCACGUGUAAUUUCUGCAGCACUUCAAGGCGCUGAAGCUGAGAAAACGCUUUAUUUCGAUUCCCGGGAAACAGUUGAUUUGAAGAAUUGCCAAAACGAUGUCAAAGCAUAUGAGCCAAAUUAAAAAGCCAUUUUCCACUCAUCCUAUUUUUCUCAUGUAAGUUAUUUUUCCGUUUCAGCUAACAAUGAUCCAUUUUGUAACAUGAAGAAAACACGAUAGCUGCGUUGUGUGAUUCGCUACAUCCGGUGCUUUAAUUGUAUUGACGGAGAAAAUGAAUCAUCCGGUGGUGCAGAUAUUGCUGGAACGCGGACAUGGUUAUGCAUAUAUCAACCUGCAUUACAAAUACUAACUUCGUAUUUGUUUUAUUUUCCCCCGCGAACGUCAACGGAUGCCUGCUGAUCUCAUCAAGAAGGAAAACAACAACCGGUGUUCAUUCUUUUUGUAGUGGAAACCGGAGAUUCAUCUCUAGACAAAAUCUCAUUCGCCGUGAAAAAUAUCUGUAAAAACAAGUCGUGCGGGAGCAACUAUCAAGUUAAGGUCUUUCCCUUCCCCCUGAAAUGUAAAAUGGGACAACGGGCAAAGCCAGACUCCCUUGCCUUCGCAUCAUACACGAGUUUCGGAAAGUUCUAGAACUCUGGACUCGACAGGCGCGGUAAAUUGCCCGGAGGGGAACCAAGCGCAUACCAACGUGAAUGAGUCUGCAAGCAACGGCAGAGUGAACGCGGUUAAAACCCCAUUGAAGGCCCCCCCCUACCUCGUCCCCCCUCCACCACAGUGCACUCCCUAAAAAGGGGGGAAAAACAAGUUUUUGGUUAAUGCAACUUCGCAAUAUUAAAUAGCUCUAGGGCUUCUCAUUGUUGAGUCAUCUAUCUACCUUGUGAAUUGCAUUGAGCCAAUGUUUUUAUUUCCCGCUGCUACGCUCUGAAUUGUUUUAGGACAAACCGCAAAUGUUCGAUUAAAUUAAGCCACUCAUCGUUGCAACAUUUUUGCCGCUCUUUCGGUACUAUUAUAUCAUAGUAACUCAGCAAUUCUUAAAUAUUCCUAUGAGAGGCGAAUUCGAACCCCAUAUUUUGCCGCAACUGAGAAGAUAACAACCAAUGUAUUAGGUUUAGUUUCUCAAGUCUGUCAAUUUCUCAGGUGAAAAAACAAACAAAACAAGAUAAUGGAUAGAGCCAAAUAUGCCGUACCAGUGAAGUUAGAUCACGGGUUCGCAUGAACGUAAAUGAGCGCAACACGACCCCGAGGCAAAAAUGAAAACCUACGACGUAGAUUUGUUGCAGGUUACGCGAUGUAUCAUGUGCCAAACGUAACAACAAGUGUUGGUUUCAUCGAG